rnacentral:Y_RNA from 1 species
GGCUGGUCUGAAGGUAGCAAGUUAUCUCAAUUGUUCACAAAGAUCAGAUGAACUCCUUGUUCCAUUCUUUCCCCCUUUCCCGCUACUGCACUUGACUAGUCUUUA